rnacentral:rRNA from 1 species
UUGUUCGCAAUGGGCGCAAGCCUGACGACGCAACGCCGCGUGGAGGACGAAGAUCUUCGGGUCGUAAACUCCUUUCGAUCGGGAAGAACGGCUUCCGGCCUAACACGCUGGAAGAGUGACGGUACCGAGAGAAGAAGCCCCGGCUAACUCCGUGCCAGCAGCCGCGGUAAUACGGGGGGGGCAAGCGUUGUUCGGAAUUACUGGGCGUAAAGGGCUCGUAGGCGGCCAACUAAGUCGGAUGUGAAAUCCCCAGGCUUAACCUGGGAACUGCAUCCGAUACUGGUUGGCUUGAAUCCGGGAGAGGGAUGCGGAAUUCCAGGUGUAGCGGUGAAAUGCGUAGAUAUCUGGAGGAACACCGGUGGCGAAGGCGGCAUCCUGGACCGGCAUUGACGCUGAGGAGCGAAAGCCAGGGGAGCAAACGGG